AUGCGUGCAGCUUGCACACAGCCAAGGAAAAGCUCAACGUUGUCGGAAACGCUUAGUCACACUUCUCACCUGUCUUCUUGCUCAGGUGAAAAAGAGCUCAAAGUAGCCAAUCAGAAUCCUGAAACAGAGCUAAACAUUAUUAAAGAACUACUAAACGAGUUCAGAGGGCUUCACGAGCUGAGGUUAAGAUGCUUGGAGGAGGACACCACUAGAAGGGGAGAACUCCCACAGAAGAAAGUGGACUUCCUGCAGUCUUACGUGAAUGACCUCACAGACCACAUCCAGGUGCUUGUUCAGACCAUUGAGGAUUUGCAAAGGGGAGCUGGACAGAACCAUGAUCGUGUUUUGGCUGUGUCUGGGGUUGGGUUGAAGCCUUUGUUGCUGGAUGAGGUCACUGGACCUGUGGCUCACAUCCCUCGCAGUGGUUCCGUGGACCAGAUGACGUCUGAGACGGAGGAUGUGAAAAUCCAGCUGCAAACCAAUGACACGAUCGUCUCGGAUCUGGAGAGGGAGCUCGCAGAGAAUAUACAACAAAAGCAAAAGACUGCGACGCAGGUGCUGGAAAGCGGCGAGAGGCUGGUGCACCUGCAGAGCGAGCUGUCUUGUCUGCGGCGGAUCCACGAAGACAACAUGAAGGAGAUUGCUGAGAAAGACAUCUGCAUCACCAAACUGCAAGCUAACAUUCAGCUCCUGCAACAGGAGGGGGCUGACACGCGUGCUCAGUUGGAGGCCAGCAGGAAGCAGGUGGAACGUCAGAGGAGGGAGUUAUCAGAGCUUCACCAGAAGGAGGAGACACUUUUGUGUGAGACCAAGGCCAAAAUGGUGCAUUUGAAAGACAAGCUCCGUGACGGUUUCAAGAGAAGGGCGGAGGAGAAAGAGGCGAGGAUUAAGCAACUAACUGACGAGCUGAAUGGAACGAGGCAAAAGAUACAGAAGAGGGAGGUUAAGAUGUGUACACUGAUGAAGGAGCUCACAGAAAGUAAGGGACAACACUCAGAGUGUCAAAAAGAGUUGCUUCGAAAAGACAGGUCUUUGGAGAAGCUCCGUGAGGAGAGGGAUGAGCUGAGAGUCCUGAUGGAGGACCGAAGCAGAGAGUGCGCACACCUUGACCGGAGCAAAGCCAAACUGGAGGCUGACUUGGCUCUGAGCCAUGAGAAACUCCACACCUCACACCUUGAGGUUCGAAGUAGAGAUGAGUUAAUUCUGCAGCUCAGAGCCGAAAUGAAGACAGCUGAACAGAAGCAUCGAGGAACACAGAAGCAGGUGACAGCUCUGGAGAAAGAGGUAAGACACUUAAACUGCACGAUCAGAGCGCACAAGGAAGAGGCCUGUCAGUUAAGCGAAAAGGUCAGCGAUAUCGAGCACCUUAAAGAGCAGAAGGCGAAAGAACAACAGCAGCUACAAGAGCGGCUCCGUAUUAAGGAGCAACAGGCUGAUGCAGUUGAAAAGAAGCUGAAGAAGGAGAAGGAGGAGGUGGAACUUCUCAAUCAGCAGCUGAAAGAAUCCAAGGAUGAGCUCAAAGAGGCCAAUUUGCACAACCAGGAGCAGAAAGAAACGGCUGCGAUUUUUAAGCAGAAAUACGCCGCAGCAAUAGAGAAGGCGCUCAGGGUGCAAGAGCAUGUGGAACGUCUGGAGGAGGAACUACGAUAUUCACAGGAACAGCUAAGAGAGUCGCAGUUAGCAGCUUCUUCGCUGAAGGAAGAGCUAGCUGAGCUGGAGUGCCGGUAUCAGGAAAAGGUUGGCCAGUGGGAGAGUUCACAGGAGGCUCUUGACCAACUAACAGAUGAACUUCAGGCCAGUCACAACCUGCUAAGAGAGAGCGAACAAAAAGUGGAGCACUUCAAAAACCUGAUGAGAUCUCUUCAGGAGCAGAUGGACACACUCAAUCAGCAGAAGCUUGCUGUGGAGUGUGACCUGCAGCUCUAUCGUCGGAGCCAUUCUCAUUCUGAUGAGGACUAUUUGAAUCUAGGAAGACUCAGACAGCAGCUGCAGAAGCGCUGUGCAGCACAGGUUGAACACCUUGCGGUGUGUGAAAACACUAUUCUUCAGAUGAAGUCAGAGCUGGAGAGACAAGUCCAGGAAAAGGUGGGUCUGAAACAAAGUCUCGCUGCUUCCCAGCAAACUCACCGGAGCAAUCAAAAACAGCUGGAACAGGAAGUGAUUCGUACAAAACAGGAAGUGGCAUCCUUAGAGCUUGAACUGGCGAACACCCAAAAGGUGCAGGUGGCACUCCUCAGGCAGUCAGAUGAGGCCAGACAAGAGUCUGCAAGAAAGAGCCGAGAGGUGGAUGUGGAGAGAAGAAAGGCCCAGAUGCUUCAGGAGGCGUUACACAAGGAGCAGGAGAAGCUGCAGAGUGCUAUCAGAGAGAAUGAGACCCUGAGCACUGUCAUCGGAAAGCUGAGGAAAGAGCUGGAGGAGCUGCGCAGCAGUCACCGAGUGACAGUGGAGGAGUUGGCAGCCCGUGCAGAGGAGGUGAGGCGGAUGGAGGGGUGUCUGAAUGAAGGCAAGCUAGCAGAGGAGAAAAUAAGGUCAAUGGCUGCGGGGCUGAAGAAGGAGCUGACAGAGGCUGUCCAUCAGAAACUCACAGCAGAGAGAGAGAAACAGGAUGCACUGGACCAGGUGAUCACGCUCCGGUCAGAGCUGGAGGGGACGCGGUCCGACAAUGCAAAGCUUCUGCACGAGAGCCAGCUGGUCAUGACUAAUGUCAACCUUUGGAUCACUGAGCAAAAGGCUUCCAGUGAGAGCGUUAUUGCCCAGAUUAAAGCCCAAAACAAAGCUCUGCUCAUCAUCACUAAAGAGAAAGAAUGUCUUCAGGAGGCUAAUGACACACUGAAGGCGGAGGUAAAGAGACUGAAAGAAGCGGUGGAUGAGAAGGAGAAAGACAUGGAACUCUUCAAGGCCCGUCUCCGGGACUGGGGAGUACAGCAAGAAAGGAAAACCAUGGAAAAGAAGGGGUGCGUUGCUCUAAACCUCAGCAAAAUCGAGGACAUGCAGACCAGACUGCAAAGCAACCUGGAGGCCAUCGGAAUGCUAAAUCAACAAUUAGGCAAUCUCAGUCAGGAGAAUAAGCAGUUGCGUAGGCAGCUGGAAGAAGAGAGGUCCAUGCAUAGACAAGUGGAGAGGAGUGGGCCCCUUCCUCCUCCCUCUACAACCGCCAUCCACCUCCCACUCUCUCUCAGUGUCAGCCCUCCUAUCUGUGCCUCCCUUCCCUCAUCCCAGGGCCUGCCUCGUCUUCUGAGCAUAGUCCCAGUGACAGGGGACACUAAUGGGACUCAAACCAAGCCGAGUACAGUCGGAGUAGAGAGACCAGCUGAUGGUCUGACAGAAAUAGAAGGGGCGUCAAGAGUCACCACGGCAGACAGAUCGCUUCAGGCUGUGGCACACACCACCUGAACUGCCUGCGCAUGUAUGCUUGUGUGUAUGUGUGUGUGUAUGUGUGUGUGAGCAUGCAUGAUUUUGUUGUACAGCCAUUAAAGCAUACUAUCAAUCAAAAAACAUCAUUAAAGUUUGUAUUUUAAAUAAAUGAUUUUAUUAAAACAUAAUUACUGAAGCACUGGUGUAAUAUAUAUUAUUUCCAGUAAAGGACAGGAGGGUGUGCGCUCGCCACACAUCAUGGUCCAGCUAAUUCUGGGAGAUUACAUUUGGGUCAUUUUGAAACAGCUCUCUUGUGGUAGUUUUGUAGCAGAAUAAUUUAUCAAAACAUUUUAUGCUGUCCCCCAAUUGAUUGUGACCAGCACUAAAAGAUGCAAUACUUAGGCAUGCAGUAUGCAUGAAAUUAUGCUAAUGCAUAACACUAGCGUUCAUAUGCAUCUGCAUAUUGAUAUAUACAGUAUCUUUUACCUGAUUACAUUAAAUCUAAUAAGUGUAGACAAACACCGAGUGAUUCAAAAUAGACAUAAAAUACAGAGCACCUGCCUUUUCCUUAUUGCGCUUUUUAAUAUAAUAAAGUAUAUAUGUGAUAUAUAGUAUA
ensembl:lncRNA